GGCCAUAGCUCGGUGGCAGAGCUUCUGCUUUGCAUGCAGAAGGUCCCAGGUUCAAUCCCAGGUAGGGCUG